AUGGACUUGUGGCUCAUAUUGGUUUUCUUUGUCCUUAUUUUAAAAGGUGUUCAGUGUAAGGUGCAGUUGCAGGAGUCUGGGGGAGGUUUAGUGCAGCCUGGAAAGUCCCUGAAACUCUCCUGUGCAGCUUUUGUAUUCACCUUUGUUGACUAUGAAAUGAACUGCAUUCACCAGGCUCCAGGGAAGGGGCUGGAGUGGGUCUUAUACAUUAAUAAAGGUAGUACUAGCUACUAUACUGACGCUAUGAAGGGCCGGCUCACAAUCUCCAGAGACAAUGCCAAAAACACUUUGUACUUGGAAAUGAGCAGUCUGAGGUCUGAGGACACAGCCAUGUAUUACUGUGCAGGAGACACAGAAGAUUUUAAUUUCUUUUUUUAUUUCUUC